AUGGAAGGAUUGAAACGUGCAAUCAGGUUGGCUGUCGGCAUUCAGCAACCAGCCGAUUUGGACACAGCUUAUCACUUAGCUAUUUUGCACGAAGAGUUGGGCGCAAGUUCAGUCAGCCCUUCCCUUGCUAGCAUCGGUCGUAGAGCUUCAGCAUUACCUUUACCAUCCCCACCUCAGGUCUUAUCUACCAACACAGUCUCUGCUCGUUUGACUGAUGAUAAGAAAACAACUGAAACAUUCAGAAGAGCUGCUACGGAUGAUAGGUGGAGUGCCUUGCAUGCUUACAUGAGAGCCAAGGGAUUAUGUUACGUCUGUGGUGAGCGAUGGAGCAAGGACCAUGUAUGUAAACAAGAGGUACAACUUCAUGUGGUACAGGAGAUGUGGGAUUAUGUGCAUCAUCUCCCAGCUGAUUUUGCAGACUAUCCUGAGACUGAUAUUGCUUCUGAAGCAAAUGCCAUGUUCCUGUCUGCAGCUGCACUAGGUGACAUUCCUGAAGCUCCAGUUAUGACAAUGAAAAUGAAGAUUCAAUUACAAGGCAGAACUUUAAUGUUUUUGGUGGAUUCUGGCAGUAUUAACACUUUUCUGAACUGUACUGUGGCUGAGUUACUAUCUGGAGUAUCUAACAUGCCUGUUUCUAUGGUCAGGGUCGCAAAUGGUAAACUGAUUCCAUGCUCUCAGCAGAUUUUACAGGGUAAAUGGUCCUGUGGUGGCCACAAAUUUGUUAGUAAUUUCAGGAUUUUUCCACUGGGCUCAUAUGAUGGAAUUUUUGGCAUUGACUGGUUAGCUACCCAUAGCCCUAUGCAGGUGGAUUGGUCUGCCCACUGGCUUGCCUUUCAGCAUGAAGGUGCUUUGGCUACAUUGCUAGGAGAAAAUGCUACUCCUCCUGUUUGUACUUUGUUGAGUAUACAUGCAGUAAUUACACUUGCAGAUGGCACACCAUCUAAUGUCCCUCCUGAGAUUCAAGCUCUGUUGGAAAAGUUUGCCUUAGUCUUUGUAGCUCCAACUGGCUUACCUCCUCGAAGGCAGUAUGAUCACACUAUUCCCUUGGUCUCACAUGUUGCUCGGGUAUCCUUGAGGCCAUAUAGAAUUGCUCCUGCAUUGAAAAAUGAAAUGGAAAGACAGACACAAGAGAUGUUGGACAAUGGAAUUAUCAGACACAGCAGCAGUCCUUUCUCAUCACCAAUGUUAAUGGUGCAAAAGAAGCACACCACUUGGAGACCAGUGAUUGACUAUAGACAUUUGAAUGCUAUCACGGCUAAGAGCAAGUACCCUAUACCAGUUAUAGAUGAACUUUUGGAUGAGUUAGAAGGAUCUCACUGGUUUUCUAAGCUAGACCUUAGAGCUGGCUACCACCAGAUCAUAAUGGCACCAAGAGAAGAGUAUAAGACUGCCUUCCAAACACACAUGGGUCAUUAUGAAUUCCUGGUUAUGUCUUAUGACCUCACUGGAGCUCCAAAUACCUUCCAGUUUGCUAUGAACAGUGACUUAAAACCAGUUCUUCAAUGUCAUAAAGGAAAGAAAUUUGUCAUUGUCUUCUCUGAUGAUAUUCUGGUUUUUAGUGUUACAUGUGCUCAACAUUUGCAACAUCUGGAAGAGGUAUUGCAACUUCUCAAACAACAACAGUGGCAAGUCAAGUUGUCUAAAUGUGCAUUUUCCCAGUGGCAAAUUGGUUACUUGGGGCAUGUUAUCAGUGGGCAAGGAGUUGCUACAGAUCCUUCUAAAAUUGAGACCAUUCAGAACUGGCCUGCCCCUAUUUCUGCCAAGGAAGUCAGAGGAUUUCUUGGGUUGGCCGGAUAUUACCGAAAGUUAAUCAGACUCUUUGGAGUGAUCAGCAGGCCUCUUACCAAUCUUCUUAAAAAGGGCAUGCCUUUUCAUUGGACAGAUAUUGAACAACAAUCCUUUGUAGCACUCAAGCAGGCCCUUGUGUCUGCACCUGUCCUAGCUCUUUCAGAUUUUUCUAAGAAGUUUGUCAUUGAAACAGAUGUGUGUGAUGUGGGAAUUGGAGCAAUUCUCAUGCAAGAUGGACAUCCACUAGCCUAUGUGAGCAAGGCUUUGGGCCCCAGAAACCAAGCCUUGUCUGUUUAUGAGAAGGGGUAUUUGGCCAUUUUGCUGGCUGUUGACUACUGGUGUCAGUAUCUACAACUGUCUGAAUUUAUUAUCAAAAUAGACCAGUGUAGUUUGUCUAUUCUAAGUGAACAAAGACUUCACACUGUAUGGCAGCAAAAAGCACUUACCAAGCUUUUGGGGCUCAGUUACACUAUCAGUUACAAGAAAGGUAAUGAUAAUGGUGCUGUUGAUUCCUUAUUACGAAGGCCACACACUGCUUCAGAAGCCCUGCCUGAAAUCCUAGUUGUAUCUUCAGCUCAACCACUUUGGCUUGAGGAGAUUUUACACAGUUACUCGGACGACCCCUUUUGCAUUGGGUUGUUGCAACGCUUGGCCACUGACUCUGAUGCUGACAAGAAUUUUUUGUUAAAAGAUGGGUUGCUUCGUCUGGAUAACUGUAUCUAG
rnacentral:rRNA from 1 species